AUGAGAUGUUCACAGAGUAUCAUGGUAUAUCCUGAGAUUACCAGAUAUAUAUAUGUGCGACAGUAGCGCCAUCUGGAGUUGCUUGUACGCAACUACAAUAAAUAUUGCUGUAGAACGUUUGUAUCAUAAUACGUAAUACGACUCUUACCGAAAAUACAAAUAUUAUCGACGGAUCAAAGAUAGAAGUUCGUAGAAGUAUAUACAGGAAUUCUCAACACGAAUCAUGUUGCUCUGUGUGUUAAGCAAUUUGGCAACGUCGCUAAGGCUUAAUCCGGCCAGAAGGAAUGGAGCCUAGCAACCAGUGAGGUCAACAAACGAGGUCAAAUCACAGAUUACCUGCGCAGUACGACGGAAAUAAUGAUGAUGCAGAUGUAAAUACAUAUGUAUGUUGAAAUACA